UGGUACUACUCUACCCAGCAUAUAGGAAACA
rnacentral:piRNA from 1 species